rnacentral:pre_miRNA from 1 species
CAUCUACUCUCUCCGUUCGGAAUUACUUGUCUCGGAAAUGGAUGUAUCUAGAACGUCUAGAUACAUCCAUUUCCGAGACAAGUAAUUCCGAACGGAUGGAGUAAUAA